GUGCUUUAGAAGAUCUGAAUCUCCAAAUCAAUGUGCUCCAUGAACGGUAUUAUGCCAGAUACUGGAGCUAAAAAGAUGGACAAACAGCCUUUCUCAAAGAACUCAUAAACUGGAGAGGAGAUGUAUGCAAGAACAACAAGCUAGACCACAUUGUGAUAAGGACUUAUCUAAUGGUAUGAAGAAGUGGUGUAGCAGAGAGGAGAGAGCAAUUAAUCCUGGGGCAUGGACGGCCUUCAAGAGAAGAAAGUGAUAUUGCAGCUUGAUCAUAAAGGGUUAUGGGAAUUUUUCCAGGCUAAGAAGGAAAUGAAGGGUAUUCCAGGCAUGAACAAAAGCACAGAGAAUUGACAGCACAUAUUGUUUAGGGGAAGAGCAAAUUGCGGGAAAUUAGCUUAGAAUGGGGUAUGAUACCCAAAUAAUGAAAUAUGGAAGGUAGAAUGUUAAGGAGACAUCUCACCAAAUUAAAGCGCUGAACUUCACUAGGGUCACUGGAGGAGCCUUUGAAAAGUUUCAAUAGGAAACAGCCUAAUUGGAGCUGGGAUAGAACACAUUGGAGAAGGAGGAGACUGAACAGGGAGACCCAUCAGGAGUAUCAGUAAUUCAGGCUGAAGAUGCAGAAACAGCGGCAGGCCCUGAGCAGCAGGGAAAAAAAGGGAAAGUUGAGAGCCACGUGGGAAGUAAAAAGGACCCACUGGCAACUGAUUAGAUGUGAGUGUGGAGGAAGGGAGAAUAUGUG
rnacentral:lncRNA from 10 species